UCCUAAACCGGAUCGGUUUUGGGUUUUUCUCCCCUCUAUGUAUAUGAAAAAGUGAUCGAUGAUUAUUCAUCGCUUUGUAUCCUUUUUUUUCUUUGUUUUUCUUGCAUGCAUGACGAUCAUUCUUAUUGCUUUCUUUGAUUACGUUUCUAAUCUUUUUAUCAUCUCUUUAGGGUUUUGCUCGAUUUAUUAACAUCUGAUCAAUCUCGUUGAUCUCUAAUGAUCAACCCUAGUUGUUGAUUUUCUAUUGCGUCGAUUUUGCGACUGAUCAAUCCAUCGAGAUUUUACAUGAGCGUACGGGGACAAACAUGUUCUGAUCAAUUCUCGUUGAACCGAACCAUCAAUUAACCCUCAUGGAUCCUAACAAUCAACCCUCGUUGAUAUAUCUAAUCAACGCUCGUUGAUCAACAAGCAGAAGUCUGUGUAUAUCUUCUAAUGAAAGAAGGAAUGAUCUUGUAGAUAUCUGAUUAUUUUCAUGUAUGUUUUGUUCCUUUUCUUAAUAUGACUAUCUUUUAAAGAUCUUAGGGUUCAUGGUUUGGCUUGUCUUGUUCUGAUCCUGGAGUGACGUUGAUCGUUAACGCAUAUUUGGGAUGGAUUAAUGUUGAGUUUUCAGGCCUGUCCAUCGAGGUAUUACCAAUUAAUAUAGAGGCGCAGUCGUGCAGGGACAAAAACACAUCUGAUGAUCAAUUCUCGUUGUUCUUAUUAUUUCUUGAUAAUGCUCCAAUCAACUCUCGUUGAUCUGAUCAUA